ACGGGAGGCAGCAGUGGGGAAUAUUGGGCAAUGGACGAAAGUCUGACCCAGCGACGCCGCGUGAAGGAUGAAGGUCUUCGGAUUGUAAACUUUAGUACUCAGGGACGAAACAAAUGACGGUACCUGAAGAACAAGUCACGGCUAACUACGUGCCAGCAGCCGCGGUAAUACGCAGGUGACAAGCGUUAUCCGGAUUUACUGGGUGUAAAGGGCGUGUAGGCGGUUUGGCAAGUCAGAAGUGAAAUUCCCGGGCUUAACUUGGGCGCUGCUUCUGAAACUGCUUAACUUGAGUACUGGAGAGGAUAGUGGAAUUCCUAGUGCAGCGGUAAAAUGCACAGAUAUUAGGAGGAACACCGGUGGCGAAGGCGGCUAUCUGGACAGUAACUGACGCUGAGGCGCGAAAGCACGGGGAGCAAACAGGAUUAGAUACCCUGGUA
rnacentral:rRNA from 1 species